rnacentral:rRNA from 1 species
AUUGAACGCUGGCGGCAGGCCUAACACAUGCAAGUCGAGCGGAUGAGAAGAGCUUGCUCUUCGAUUCAGCGGCGGACGGGUGAGUAAUGCCUAGGAAUCUGCCUGGUAGUGGGGGACAACGUUUCGAAAGGAACGCUAAUACCGCAUACGUCCUACGGGAGAAAGCAGGGGACCUUCGGGCCUUGCGCUAUCAGAUGAGCCUAGGUCGGAUUAGCUAGUUGGUGAGGUAAUGGCUCACCAAGGCGACGAUCCGUAACUGGUCUGAGAGGAUGAUCAGUCACACUGGAACUGAGACACGGUCCAGACUCCUACGGGAGGCAGCAGUGGGGAAUAUUGGACAAUGGGCGAAAGCCUGAUCCAGCCAUGCCGCGUGUGUGAAGAAGGUCUUCGGAUUGUAAAGCACUUUAAGUUGGGAGGAAGGGCAGUAAGCGAAUACCUUGCUGUUUUGACGUUACCGACAGAAUAAGCACCGGCUAACUCUGUGCCAGCAGCCGCGGUAAUACAGAGGGUGCAAGCGUUAAUCGGAAUUACUGGGCGUAAAGCGCGCGUAGGUGGUUUGUUAAGUUGGAUGUGAAAGCCCCGGGCUCAACCUGGGAACUGCAUCCAAAACUGGCAAGCUAGAGUACAGUAGAGGGUGGUGGAAUUUCCUGUGUAGCGGUGAAAUGCGUAGAUAUAGGAAGGAACACCAGUGGCGAAUGCGACCACCUGGACUGAUACUGACACUGAGGUGCGAAAGCGUGGGGAGCAAACAGG